CGGGGGGGGCAAGCGUUGUUCGGAAUUACUGGGCGUAAAGGGCUCGUAGGCGGCCAACUAAGUCAGACGUGAAAUCCCUCGGCUUAACCGGGGAACUGCGUCUGAUACUGGAUGGCUUGAAUCCGGGAGAGGGAUGCGGAAUUCCAGGUGUAGCGGUGAAAUGCGUAGAUAUCUGGAGGAACACCGGUGGCGAAGGCGGCAUCCUGGACCGGCAUUGACGCUGAGGAGCGAAAGCUAGGGGAGCAAACGGG
rnacentral:rRNA from 1 species